AUGGCACAAUCAAACCUGAAUGAACAAAAUGUUGAAUUGAAUCGUACUAGUCUAUACUGGGGUUUAUUACUCAUUUUUCUACUUGCUAUUUUAUUUUCCAAUUACUUCUUCAAUUGA
rnacentral:rRNA from 1 species